AUGGGAUCCCCAACGGUGGCCCCCGCGCCCCUCCUCGCCGCCGCCCCGGACGGCGGCGAGGCGGACGCCAACGGCGACCACGAGCGGCAGCAGCAGCUCCAGAUCGUCCCCUCCUCCGCCGUCCCCGCCCCCUCCAAGCCGCCCGAGCCGGCGCCGACGGUGGCCACCCACACGCGCACCAUCGGCAUCAUCCACCCGCCGCCCGACAUCCGCGUCAUCAUCGAGAAGACGGCCACCUUCGUCGCCAAGAACGGGCCCGAGUUCGAGCGCCGCAUCGUCGCCCACAACCAGGGCAACGCCAAGUUCAACUUCCUCCAGCCCUCCGACCCCUACCACGCCUACUACCAGCACCGCGUCUCCGAGAUCGCCGACGCGCCGCCCGCCCCCGACGCCGCCGCCACCGACCCCGACGCUCUCCCCUCGGACGACUCCGCCGCCGACGGCAAGCCCGCCGACGACCACUCCGCGCCCUUCCGCGUCGGCCCGCCCGCCAAGGUGCUGGUGCCGCCCAAGGCCGAGCUCUACACCGUGCGCCUCCCCGAGGGCAUCACCACCGAGGAGGUGGACAUCGUCAAGCUGACGGCGCAGUUCGUCGCCCGCAACGGCAAGACCUUCCUGGCCAGCCUCGCGUCCCGGGAGAGCACCAACCCGCAGUUCAACUUCCUCCGCCCCACCCACAGCAUGUUCCCCUUCUUCACCGCGCUCGCCGACAUCUACUCGAGGGUCAUGAGGCCUGACGAGGGCGUGGCCGCCCUCAUGAGGGAGCUCAAGGAGGGGACCAAGGACCUCACCACGGUGCUGGAGCGCUGCCUCAACCGGCUCGAGUGGGACCGGUCGCAGGAGCAGGCCAAGCAGCAGGCGGAGGAUGAGGUUGAGAUGGAGAGGAUGCAGAUGUCCAUGAUUGAUUGGCAUGAUUUCGUCGUUGUCGAGACUAUUGAGUUUGAUGAUGAUGAGUUUGAGGGCCUCCCUGUGCCGCCUACGCUGGAAGAGCUGAAGCGCCGCAAGAGGAUGGAGACCUUGGGAGAGGAGGAGCCCAUGGAAUUGGCUGAACCAGCCAAGGAUGUUGAGAUGGAGAUGGAUGAGGAGGAGAUGCAGCUUGUCGAGGAAGGAAUGAAGGCAGCAAGGCUCGAUGAGAAUGAUGGAGGAGCACAAGUUAAGGUGGCCAGUAAUGAUGAUGAGCCGCCUAUGAGAAUUGUCAAAAACUACAAGAGGCCUGAGGAGAGGAUCCCUGCGGAGAGGGACCCGACCAAGGUUGUUGUCUCACCAAUAACCGGGGAGCUCAUUCCGAUCAGCGAGAUGGAGGAACACAUGCGCAUCUCGCUCAUUGACCCCAAGUACAAGGAACAGAAAGAAAGAAUGCUGGCCAAGAUUAAGGAAACCACUCUUGCUCCUGAUGAUGAGAUCUCCCGUAACAUUAUUGGUCUUGCACGUACGAGGCCAGAUAUUUUUGGAACCACCGAGGAAGAGGUUUCUAAUGCCGUCAAGGCAGAAAUUGAAAAGAAAAAGGAUGAGCAGCCAAAGCAGGUUAUUUGGGAUGGUCAUUCUGGGAGCAUCGGUUGGACAGCCACUCAGGCAAUGUCUGUCGGUGGAGAAGAACAGGGUGAUGCCUCGAAUGCUCCAGGUCCAGCUCCACUUCCCCGGCCUGGCAUGCCGUUGCCCCGGCCUCCCCAACCACUUUCCUUGGUCAAUGUUCCCCGAUUUACACCCAAUCCAAUGCCUUAUCAUGUCCAACCCCCUCAUCAUAUGCAAGGAGUUCCACCACAUAUGAUGUCCAACAUGCACCAACCUCUGCCACCAGGUCAACAACACAUGAUUAGGAUGUCAGGUCCCAUGGGUCAUAUGCCAAGUAAUAUCCCUCCGCCGCCUCCAGGCCAUAAUACUCAGUUCAUGCCUGGUCCACCACGGUUUGCUAUGCCCCCUCCCCCGCACAUGCAGAACAUGCCAACCAUGGUCAACCCCAUCGGAAUCCCCCAGCCUCCACCACCUUUGCCUCCACAACCACCUGCCGAGGAGCAGCCACCUCUACCUGAGGAACCAGAACCUAAGAGGCAGAGAACAGAUGAUGCUUCUCUGAUCCCAGCUGAGCAGUUCCUCGCUCAGCAUCCGGGCCCUGCUCGCAUCUCAGUUUCUGUGCCCAACCUUGAUGAAGGAAACUUGCGAGGCCAAGUUUUGGAAAUCUCUGUCCAAUCACUCUCAGACACAGUCGGCAGUCUGAAGGAGCAAAUUGCUGGAGAGCUGCAGCUUCCUGCUAAUAAGCAGAAGCUGAGUGUGAGGACUAGUUUCCUCAAGGACAAUCUUUCUCUUGCUUAUUACAAUGUGGGCCCUGGGGUGGUCAUCAAUCUAGCUCUCAGGGAGCGUGGUGGGAGAAAGAAAUGA
rnacentral:rRNA from 1 species